rnacentral:tRNA from 1 species
CCACGAGGGGGGGCUGACCGCUACGGUGCACACCUCGCCGCGGCGGCUGUUCGAGCGGCUGACGAGCGAGUUCAACUCCCACCUCGGCGU